CCUGUCCCUUGGCUUCUGCUACGGUUUACGGCCUAUGGUAGAAAGUCGGGGAUCUUCUGACCUUGUGCUGCUGGUGACCUACUUAGGAUUAGCUAGUUGGUGGGGUAAAGGCCUACCAAGGCGACGAUCUGUAGCGGGUCUGAGAGGAUGAUCCGCCACACUGGGACUGAGACACGGCCCAGACUCCUACGGGAGGCAGCAGUGGGGAAUAUUGGACAAUGGGCGCAAGCCUGAUCCAGCCAUGCCGCGUGUGUGAGAAGGCCUUAUGGUUGUAAAGCACUUUAAGCGAGGAGGAGGCU
rnacentral:rRNA from 1 species